UACGUAGGGGGCAAGCGUUGUCCGGAAUUACUGGGCGUAAAGGGCGCGUAGGCGGCUUGGUCAGUCCCGUGUGAAAUCCCUCGGCUCAACUGAGGAACUGCACGGGAAACUGCCUGGCUUGAGUUCGGGAGAGGGAAGCGGAAUUCCGGGUGUAGCGGUGAAAUGCGUAGAUAUCCGGAGGAACACCGGUGGCGAAGGCGGCUUCCUGGACCGACACUGACGCUGAGGCGCGAAAGCUAGGGGAGCAAACGGG
rnacentral:rRNA from 1 species